rnacentral:rRNA from 1 species
UACGUAGGGAGCUAGCGUUGUCCGGAAUCAUUGGGCGUAAAGCGCGCGUAGGCGGCCCGGUAAGUCCGCUGUGAAAGUCAAAGGCUCAACCUUUGAAUGUCAGCGGAUACUGCCGGGCUAGAGUCCGGAAGAGGCGAGUGGGAACUCCUGGUGUAGCGGUGGAAUGCGCAGAUAUCAGGAAGAACACCAACGGCGAAGGCAGCUCGCUGGGACGGAACUGACGCUAAGGCGCGAAAGCGUGGGGAGCGAACAGG